AGUGACACAUUUUCAGGAGGAAACAACACAUUCUCAGCAGGAAGUGACAUGUUCUCAGGGGGAAGUAACACAGGCUGUUUGUUAGACCUGGACAGCAGUAACUCCAACUCUGUGGUGCAGCCGAACCCCAACCCUACAAGCGGCUCGGACAUGUGGGGAGACUUCUCUGCCCCAGAAAAGUCAAUGUCUCCUCUCGCCAACGAUGAUGGUUCCACCAACUGGCAGCAGUUCUGAG